AUACGUAGGGUGCGAGCGUUGUCCGGAAUGACUGGGCGUAAAGGGCGUGUAGGCGGCGGUGUAAGUCUGGAGUGAAAGUCCCGCAUUCAAUGUGGGAAUUGCUUUGGAUACUGCAGUGCUAGAGUGCGGAAGAGGUAAGUGGAAUUCCCAGUGUAGCGGUGAAAUGCGUAGAGAUUGGGAGGAACACCAGUGGCGAAGGCGACUUACUGGGCCGUAACUGACGCUGAGGCGCGAAAGCGUGGGGAGCGAACAGGAUUAGAUACCCUGGUAGUCCACGCGGUAAACGAUGAAUGCUAGGUGUUGCGGGUAUCGACCCCUGCAGUGCCGGAGUAAACACAAUAAGCAUUCAGCCUGGGGAGUACGGCCGCAAGGUUGAAACUCAAAGGAAUUGGCGGGG
rnacentral:rRNA from 1 species